CGUAGGGGGCGAGCGUUAUCCGGAAUCAUUGGGCGUAAAGGGCGCGUAGGCGGAUAUUUAAGUCAGGUGUGAAAACCCAGGGCUCAACCUUGGGAUUGCAUCUGAUACUGGGUAUCUUGAGGACAGGAGAGGAAAGUGGAAUUCCUAGUGUAGCGGUGAAAUGCGUAGAUAUUAGGAGGAACACCAGUGGCGAAGGCGACUUUCUGGACUGUAACUGACGCUGAGGCGCGAAAGCGUGGGGAGCAAACAGGAUUAGAUACCCUGGUAGUCCACGCCGUAAACGAUGAGUGCUAGGUGCAGGGGGUAUCGACCCCUCCUGUGCCGCAGUUAACACAAUAAGCACUCCGCCUGGGGAGUACGGCCGCAAGGUUG
rnacentral:rRNA from 1 species